GAAGAUGCCUUGCACUCCACUCCAGAGCUGCCACUUGGACCUUCCAGCUUGCCUGCGCCCAAAGAGUGAUGAAAUUGGUUAAUUGGAAUUCCAGAUAAUAAUAGAAAAUGCAAAAUUCACAAAACAUAAUGAAGUUUGUUAGAAGGGAUUAUUCCUUGCUAGCAUAGGGAAUUCUAUUAAGAGGAACCAGAAUUGGCACCAAAAAGCACCCUUAGACUCCCUUUAUUGUAGCAAAGGAAAACACUGAGAGAGCAGUAGCACCCUGCCCCAAAUUAAGAGAGGAGUGAGUUAUAGAAGGAAGUUUAUGAGAGAGAGAGGAAUUAAGAACAAAGAGGUUCUACCAAAUUGCAGAGGCAGAAGAGCUGGAAGAAGGAGAAGCAGAGGGCCAGACACCUCAAAUCAAACACACGCAAAGUUUGGAAAAGAAGAAAGGAGGAGUAAGAAGAAGAAGGUCCUCCAGGUGAUCGAGCUUAGAAAGCUCUAGGGCGGGAUUAGUUUUGUGAGUAGUUAAAAGAACAGAUAUGUGUAUUGUUUAGUGUUUAAUAAUUUUGUCCUGGUUAUGUAAUAUAGAGAAUAUGAUUGUACCUUUUUAUGGGUUUGCAUAUGUAAAUAUAGUACUCUAGUAUUUUGUU